GACAUCAUGGCAUAGUGGUUUUAGUGUUGGACUACAACUCUGGAGACCAGGGUUCAAUUCCCCAUUCAGCCA